ensembl:snRNA U6 U6 spliceosomal RNA
GUGCUCACUUUGGCAGCACAUACACUAAAAUUGGAACAAUACAGAGAUUAGCAUGGCCCCUAUGCAAGAGCGAACACAGUUUUAAUGACAACUGUUUGUAUUAAUU